AUUGAACGCUGGCGGCAGGCCUAACACAUGCAAGUCGAGCGGAGCGGCGGACGGGUGAGUAUUGCUUAGGAAUCUGCAUGGUAGUGGGGGAGAACGUCCGGAAAUGGGCGCUAAAACCGCAAACUAUCAGCUGAGGCUAGGUCGGAUUAGCUAGUUGGUGGGGUAAAGGCCUACCAAGGCGACGAUCCGUAACUGGUCUGAGAGGAUGAUCAGUAACACUGGAACUGAGACACGGUCCAGACUCCUACGGGAGGCAGCAGUGGGGAAUAUUGGACAAUGGGCGAAAGCCUGAUGCAGCCAUGCCGCGUGUGUGAAGAAGGUCUUCGGAUUGUAAAGCACUUUAAGUUGGGAGGCGUUACCAGCAGAAUAAGCACCGGCUAACUUCGUGCCAGCAGCCGCGGUAAUAC
rnacentral:rRNA from 1 species